GCCCGGGUGGCGGAACCAGGGAUACGCGGGGGACCUAAACUCCCCUGGUCCGAAUAGGACCGUGUGGGUUCGACUCCCACCCCGGGCACCA
rnacentral:tRNA from 1 species